GAAACAUUCAUUCUUACAAAAGAUGGGACAGAAGAACCUGCAGAUACUGUAUACUUUGGUACCGGUGGGGGGGAUGCGGAUAUUGGAGAAGUUAUAAAUGCAAUAUUCUGGUAGAUGCUUACAGAUGUCAAAAUGGAUGGACACACAGUGGAGACUUCAACUGCAACAUCCCAAUAUGUAGGCCGAAUUGUGGUCCUGGUGUAUGCACAAAUCCAAAUGUGUGCGACUGCAGAGGACUGGCGAUUGGACAAUUCUGUCAAAUAUAUAUUAAGAUCCAACAACAUUCAACAACAAGAGAAACACCCCUAACUCCCUGAGGUCGAUACCGUAACAUACCUGCUGCGGGAGAGAUAAUAAUUACCACCUGACGCCGAAGAACAUUAUUUGAUCUUAUCAUAAUCACACUCGCAUGCAGUCAAUUGAAAUUAUGCAGAGACACAUUAAUAACUUGGAUGUAAAUUAAAAUAAACUUACAAAAUCUUUGAAGUUUGGACAAAUAUUUUAUAUUCAAUUUCAUAUCGGAAUAGAAUAAUAUUUUCAAUUCGAAAUAUUCACAAUUUUAACACACCUAUUACGUUUAAUAAAUAUUUGAAACAUU